rnacentral:lncRNA from 1 species
UCAAGACUCCAAAUGCUCUCUCUCUCUCUCUCUAUAUAUAUAUAUAUAUAUAGAGAGAGAGAGAGAGAGAGAGUUCCGCCCCGGCCAAAAUACUGAAAUGGCUCCAUAUAUACUAUGGCUAGCUAGUAACCCCGAAUAAUUAAUGAAACAUCAUAGAAAUCCAAAUCAAUAACAAGCCAAAUAUCCCAGUCGAUGCAGCCCUUCCCACGUUGUUCUUAGGUGAUGAUCCUGUUUAAAAAAAACAAAACAUAAACAGAUUGUCCAAGCAUGUUUGAUCUUGCUAUUUCUUGUCAUAUAUACAAUAAAUUAAGAACCCAAAAAAUAUAUAUGUACUUAGUUCACUAUAAAUAAAUUGCGUAAAAAUGGAUAAUUGAAUACAAAGUGAAAAACAUUACCUGAUUUUGGUGGCGAUGGGGAUGAUGUUGGGCCUGCUGGUAAAAAAAAUGAAAUUUUUAAAUAUAAAAAUUAUUAGUUAAGGUUAUAACUAGUCAAAAAUAUAAUGAAUCGUAAAACACAAGUACAUAUCAAAAACAUGCAUGAUAAAUGCUUCUUCAUUUAUUAAUUAUCUUGAAGUUGAAAAAUAUAUAAAAUUAAUUUCAAUACUAUCCUCUAUUAAUUUUGGGACUGAUGAUGGAUGGAUGGAUGGAUGGAUGGAUGGAUUAUUUUCUUCUCAAACUCUAAACAAAAUCUGGAAAAUAAGGUAAACCAUCCAAUUCAUGGGAAAUCACACAUAAGAACAUGCAUAUUAUUAUGUAUGGAAAUUUAAGGGAAAAAAUGAAUUAAUUAAAACACAUAAUAUUAUGAAAAACAAAGAAAAGAGAGAGAGGCCAAAAUGGAAGAGAAAUAUACCCGGGCAGGCACUAAUAUCAUCGCCAGGGAUACCGCAUAAAGUGGGAAGACCAAGGGCCUCAGUGACAUUGAUGCCGAAAGAUUUUAACAAGUUAGGGUUAUUAUAGAGAUUACAGAGACAGGUAAGCUCUUUGG